UACAGAGGUCCCAAGCGUUACUGAGAAUCACUGGGUUUAAAGGGUGCGUAGGUGGUCCGUUAAGUCAGUUGUGAAAUCCCCCGGGCUCAACCCGGGAACUGCUUCUGAUACUGGCGGACUUGAGGCCAGUAGAGGUCACUGGAACUGACGGUGGAGCGGUGAAAUGCGUAGACGAUGCGGAGGAACACCGGGUGGCGAAGGCGGAC
rnacentral:rRNA from 1 species